rnacentral:rRNA from 1 species
AGGCAUGCAGUCGAGUGGGUUUAGACCCACGGCGAACGAGGUAGUAACACGUAGGAACAUACCCCAUGGUCGGGAAUAACCUGUCGAAAGGCAGGAUAAUACCCGAUAUAUCUUCGGAUGAAAAAUUUAUUGCCAUGGGAUUGGCCUGCGACGUAUCAGCUUGUUGGUAGUGUAAUAGACUACCAAGGCUACGACGCGUAGGGGAGGUGAGAGCCUGACCCCCACCGAUGGGACUGAGACACGGCCCAUACUCCUACGGGAGGCAGCAGCCGAGAAUCUUCCGCAAUGGACGAAAGUCUGACGGAGCCAUACAGCGUGGUAGAUGACACCCUUCGGGGCGUAAAUACCUUUUAUAAGUGAAGAAGUUUAUUGACAUUAACUUAUGAAUAAGGGGCUCCAAACUCUGUGCCAGCAGGAGCGGUAAUACAGAGGCCCCAAGCGUUAUCCGGAAUUAUUGGGCGUAAAGGGUUCGUAGGUGGUUAUAUUAGUCUCUUGUUAAAGCACCAGGCUCAACCUGGGACAUGCAAGGGAAACGGUAUGACUAGAGGGCGAGAGAGGUGUGUGGAACUCAUGGUGUAGGGGUGAAAUCCGUUGAUAUCAUGGGGAACACCAAAUGCGAAGGCAACACACUGGCUCGUACCUGACACUGAGGAACGAAACCUAGGGUAGCGAACGGGAUUAGAUACCCCGGUAGUCCUAGGCCUAAACGAUGCAUACUGGUUUUUGGAGGAAUCGAC